AUUGCGUGGAGAAGUCUGUCCGCCUUCCGCGUGCAGGAUGAAGGCCCUCGGGUUGUAAACUGCUUUUGUACGGAACGAAAAGGUCUCUCCUAAUACGAGAGGCUCAUGACGGUACCGUAAGAAUAAGCACCGGCUAACUACGUGCCAGCGGCCGCGGUAAUACGUAGGGUGCAAGCGUUAAUCGGAAUUACUGGGCGUAAAGCGUGCGCAGGCGGUUAUAUAAGACAGAUGUGAAAUCCCCGGGCUCAACCUGGGAACUGCAUUUGUGACUGUAUAGCUAGAGUACGGUAGAGGGGGAUGGAAUUCCGCGUGUAGCAGUGAAAUGCGUAGAUAUGCGGAGGAACACCAAUGGCGAAGGCAAUCCCCUGGACCUGUACUGACGCUCAUGCACGAAA
rnacentral:rRNA from 1 species